rnacentral:lncRNA from 1 species
CUAGGCUACGGUGAGAUUAUUCUCGAUGAGGUAGUUUGCAGCAAAUUGGUUUUCAGACUCUAGUCGGAUUCGUUGAUGAAGGUACUUCUCUGGCCGCUCUUUGUCCACGAAAAGUCAGCGGAGGAUUUGUCCAAAGCGGUUUUAAUGUCCAACACUGUUAUGCCACUUCUGGUGCUGAUGGCAGGAGAGGCGUCAGCGGCAAGGCCCAAGGC